rnacentral:tRNA from 1 species
GCCGCAGUAGCUCAGCUGGUAGAGCAACGCAUUCGUAAUGCGUGGGUCGGGGGUUCAAGUCCCUCCUGCGGCA